CGCGGGGUGGAGCAGCCCGGUAGCUCGUUGGGCUCAUAACCCAAAGGUCGUUGGUUCAAAU
rnacentral:tRNA from 1 species